rnacentral:rRNA from 1 species
UACGUAGGGUGCGAGCGUUGUCCGGAAUUAUUGGGCGUAAAGAGCUCGUAGGCGGUUUGUCGCGUCGACUGUGAAAACCUACAGCUUAACUGUGGGCUUGCAGUCGAUACGGGCAGACUUGAGUUCGGUAGGGGAGACUGGAAUUCCUGGUGUAGCGGUGAAAUGCGCAGAUAUCAGGAGGAACACCGGUGGCGAAGGCGGGUCUCUGGGCCGAUACUGACGCUGAGGGAAGCGAAAGGCGUGG